rnacentral:tRNA from 1 species
CGGGGUAUAGCAUAUUCUUAAUGCCUUUUAAUUACGCUAAAAAUAAAACACAAGUUUGCCCCGCAA